rnacentral:rRNA from 1 species
AGUGAACGCUGGCGGCGUGCCUAAUACAUGCAAGUCGAACGGAGUGGCGCACGGGUGAGUAAUGUAUAGCUAAUCUGCCCUACACUAGAGGACAACAGUUGGAAACUACUGCUAAUACUCUAUAGUGUAGGAUGAGGCUAUAUUGUAUCAGCUAGUUGGUGAGGUAAUAGCUCACCAAGGCUAUGACGCAGAACAGGUGUGAGAGGAUGAUCAGUCACACUGGAACGUAGUCACCGUUCAUACUCCUACGGGAGGCAUCAGUAGGGAAUAGUGCUCAAUGGGUGUAACCCUGAAGCAGCAACGCCGCGUGGAGGAUGACACUGUUCGGAGCGUAAACUCCUUUUGUUAGGGAAGCGGUACCUAACUAAUAAGCACCGGCUAACUCCGUGCCAGCAGCCGCGGUAAUAC